AAGACCUUGCGCUUUUGGAGCGGCCGAUGUCUGAUUAGCUAGUUGGUAGGGUAAUGGCCUACCAAGGCUUCGAUCAGUAGCUGGUCUGAGAGGACGGCCAGCCACACUGGGACUGAGACACGGCCCAGACUCCUACGGGAGGCAGCAGUGGGGAAUUUUGGACAAUGGGCGCAAGCCUGAUCCAGCCAUGCCGCGUGAGUGAAGAAGGCCUUCGGGUUGUAAAACUCUUUCAGCCGAGAAGAAAAGGUUGCGACUAAUAAUCGCAAUUCAUGACGGUACCGGCAGAAGAAGCACCGGCUAACUACGUGCCAGCAGCCGCGGUAAUACGUAGGGUGCGAGCGUUAAUCGGAAUUACUGGGCGUAAAGGGUGCGCAGGCGGUUUUGUAAGUCAGAUGUGAAAUCCCCGGGCUUAACCUGGGAACU
rnacentral:rRNA from 1 species